AAAGAGGGGGACAACAGUUGGAAACGACUGGUAAUACCGCAUAAGCCCACGGGUCGGCAUCGACCAGAGGGAAAAGGAGCAAUCCGCUUUGAGAUGGCCUCGCGUCCGAUUAGCUAGUUGGUGAGGUAACGGCCCACCAAGGCGACGAUCGGUAGCCGGACUGAGAGGUUGAACGGCCACAUUGGGACUGAGACACGGCCCAGACUCCUACGGGAGGCAGCAGUGGGGAAUAUUGCACAAUGGGGGAAACCCUGAUGCAGCGACGCCGCGUGGAGGAAGAAGGUCUUCGGAUUGUAAACUCCUGUUGUUGGGGAAGAUAAUGACGGUACCCAACAAGGAAGUGACGGCUAACUACGUGCCAGCAGCCGCGGUAAAACGUAGGUCACAAGCGUUGUCCGGAAUUACUGGGUGUAAAGGGAGCGCAGGCGGGAAGACAAGUUGGAAGUGAAAUCUAUGGGCUCAACCCAUAAACUGCUUUCAAAACUGUUUUUCUUGAGUAGUGCAGAGGUAGGCGGAAUUCCCGGUGUAGCGGUGGAAUGCGUAGAUAUCGGGAGGAACACCAGUGGCGAAGGCGGCCUACUGGGCACCAACUGACGCUGAGGCUCGAAAGUGUGGGUAGCAAACAGGAUUAGAUACCCUGGUAGUCCACACCGUAAACGAUGAUUACUAGGUGUUGGAGGAUUGACCCCUUCAGUGCCGCAGUUAACACAAUAAGUAAUCCACCUGGGGAU
rnacentral:rRNA from 1 species